AGAGUUUGAUCCUGGCUCAGAACGAACGCUGGCGGCACGCCUAACACAUGCAAGUCGAGCGCCCAGCAAUGGGAGCGGCGGACGGGUGAGUAACACGUGGGAACAUGCCUUUCGGUUCGGAACAACUCAGGGAAACUUGAGCUAAUCCCGGAUACGCCCUAACGGGGAAAGAUUUAUCGCCGAAAGAUUGGCCCGCGUAAGAUUAGCUAGUUGGUGAGGUAAUGGCUCACCAAGGCAACGAUCUUUAGCUGGUUUGAGAGAACGACCAGCCACAUUGGGACUGAGACACGGCCCAAACUCCUACGGGAGGCAGCAGUGGGGAAUCUUGGACAAUGGGGGAAACCCUGAUCCAGCGAUGCCGCGUGAGUGAUGAAGGCCUUCGGGUUGUAAAACUCUUUCGACGGGGACGAUAAUGACGGUACCCGUAGAAGAAGCUCCGGCUAACUUCGUGCCAGCAGCCGCGGUAAUACGAAGGGGGCUAGCGUUGUUCGGAAUUACUGGGCGUAAAGCGUGCGCAGGCGGCUUCUCAAGUCAGGGGUGAAAGCCCAGAGCUCAACUCUGGAACUGCCCUUGAAACUGUGAAGCUUGAGUACGAGAGAGGUGAGUGGAAUUCCCAGUGUAGAGGUGAAAUUCGUAGAUAUUGGGAAGAACACCGGUGGCGAAGGCGGCUCACUGGCUCGUAACUGACGCUCAUGCACGACAGCGUGGGGAUCAAACAGGAUUAGAUACCCUAGUAGUCC
rnacentral:rRNA from 1 species